rnacentral:rRNA from 1 species
AACGUAGGUGGCGAGCGUUAUCCGGAUUUACUGGGCGUAAAGGGUGUGCAGGCUGCCCCUCAAGUGGUGUAUGAAAGGGCUCGGCUCAACCGGGCUAGGUUAUGCCAGACUGAGGGGCUAGAGAGCGAGAGCGGGACGUGGAAUUCCGGGUGUAGUGGUGAAAUGCGUAGAGUAUCCGGAGGAACCCACGGAGGCGAAGGCGGCA